AGAGUUUGAUCAUGGCUCAGAUUGAACGCUGGCGGCAGGCCUAACACAUGCAAGUCGAGCGAGAAAGGUCUUCGCCAGGCGUCGAGCGGCGGACGGGUGAGUAACGCGUGGGAAUCUAUCCAGUAGCGGGGGAUAGCCCGGGGAAACCCGGAUUAAUACCGCAUACGCCCUACGGGGGAAAGCAGGGGAUCUUCGGACCUUGCACUAUUGGGUGAGCCCGCGUCGGAUUAGCUAGUUGGUGGGGUAAAGGCCUACCAAGGCGACGAUCCGUAGCUGGUCUGAGAGGAUGAUCAGCCACACUGGGACUGAGACACGGCCCAGACUCCUACGGGAGGCAGCAGUGGGGAAUAUUGCGCAAUGGGGGCAACCCUGAUCCAGCCAUGCCGCGUGUGUGAAGAAGGCCUUCGGGUUGUAAAGCACUUUCAGCGAGGAGGAAAGGUUGACGUUUAAUACGCGUCAGCUGUGACGUUACUCGCAGAAGAAGGACCGGCUAACUCCGUGCCAGCAGCCGCGGUAAUACGGAGGGUCCGAGCGUUAAUCGGAAUUACUGGGCGUAAAGCGCGCGUAGGCGGUUAGAUCAGUCAACUGUGAAAGCCCUGGGCUCAACCUGGGAACUGCAGCUGAUACUGUCUGACUAGAGUUUGGUAGAGGAGUGUGGAAUUUCCUGUGUAGCGGUGAAAUGCGUAGAUAUAGGAAGGAACACCAGUGGCGAAGGCGGCCCCCUGGAUUGAUACUGACACUGAGGUGCGAAAGCGUGGGUAGCAAACAGGAUUAGAUACCCUGGUAGUCCACGCCGUAAACGAUGUCAACUAGCUGUUGGAGGACUUGAUCCUUUAGUGGCGCAGCUAACGCGUUAAGUUGACCGCCUGGGGAGUACGGCCGCAAGGUUAAAACUCAAAUGAAUUGACGGGGGCCCGCACAAGCGGUGGAGCAUGUGGUUUAAUUCGACGCAACGCGAAGAACCUUACCUACUCUUGACAUCCUCAGAACUUUCCAGAGAUGGAUUGGUGCCUUCGGGAACUGAGUGACAGGUGCUGCAUGGCUGUCGUCAGCUCGUGUCGUGAGAUGUUGGGUUAAGUCCCGUAACGAGCGCAACCCUUGUCCUUAGUUGCCAGCGAUUCGGUCGGGAACUCUAAGGAGACUGCCGGUGACAAACCGGAGGAAGGUGGGGACGACGUCAAGUCAUCAUGGCCCUUACGACCUGGGCUACACACGUGCUACAAUGGGGAAUACAAAGGGUCGCGAAGCCGCGAGGUGGUGCUAAUCCCAUAAAAUUUCUCGUAGUCCGGAUUGGAGUCUGCAACUCGACUCCAUGAAGUCGGAAUCGCUAGUAAUCGUGAAUCAGAAUGCUACGGUGAAUACGUUCCCGGGCCUUGUACACACCGCCCGUCACACCAUGGGAGUGGGUUGCAAAAGAAGUGGGUAGUCUAACCUUCGGGAGGGCGCUCACCACUUUGUUUCAUGACUGGGGUGAAGUCGUAACAAGGUAACCGUA
rnacentral:rRNA from 1 species